GUGUAUUUAUUAUAAUUUUAUUAUAUUUGAUUUGCAUUCAUAAGAUUUUUUUGCACA
rnacentral:tRNA from 1 species